rnacentral:rRNA from 1 species
UCUGUAGCAAGGUUAACCGUAUAGGGGAGCCGGAGGGAAACCGAGUCUUAAUUGGGCGUUAAGUUGCAGGGUAUAGACCCGAAACCCGGUGAUCUAGCCAUGGGCAGGUUGAAGGUUGGGUAACACUAACUGGAGGACCGAACCGACUAAUGUUGAAAAAUUAGCGGAUGACCUGUGGCUGGGGGUGAAAGGCCAAUCAAACCGGGAGAUAGCUGGUUCUCCCCGAAAGCUAUUUAGGUAGCGCCUCGUGAAUUCAUCUCCGGGGGUAGAGCACUGUUUCGGCUAGGGGGCCAUCCCGGCUUACCAACCCGAUGCAAACUGCGAAUACCGGAGAAUGUUAUCACGGGAGACACACGGCGGGUGCUAACGUCCGUCGUGAAGAGGGAAACAACCCAGACCGCCAGCUAAGGUCCCAAAGUCAUGGUUAAGUGGGAAACGAUGUGGGAAGGCCCAGACAGCCAGGAUGUUGGCUUAGAAGCAGCCAUCAUUUAAAGAAAGCGUAAUAGCUCACUGGUCGAGUCGGCCUGCGCGGAAGAUGUAACGGGGCUAAACCAUGCACCGAAGCUGCGGCAGCGAACGUAUCACCCAAGACAACUUUACGGAGUUGACGAUUGACGGAGCGAAGCGACGUCAAAGCGUUCAUUAAAGUCGAGUUGGCUUAGGGAUACGUUCGUUGGGUAGGGGAGCGUUCUGUAAGCCUGUGAAGGUGUGUCGUGAGGCAUGCUGGAGGUAUCAGAAGUGCGAAUGCUGACAUAAGUAACGAUAAAGCGGGUGAAAAGCCCGCUCGCCGGAAGACCAAGGGUUCCUGUCCAACGUUAAUCGGGGCAGGGUGAGUCGACCCCUAAGGCGAGGCCGAAAGGCGUAGUCGAUGGGAAACGGGUUAAUAUUCCCGUACUUGGUGUUACUGCGAAGGGGGGACGGAGAAGGCUAUGUUGGCCGGGCGACGGUUGUCCCGGUUUAAGCGUGUAGGUGUGUGUUCCAGGUAAAUCCGGUU